AUCUAUAUCUGGUUACAGUUGAAAUAUUAUCAUUGGCAUUUUUCUUUAAUAGACUUCAUGGGUUUUUUGCAAAGGUUAUAUCUCUGAACGUUUCACUUUUGUAUUUAAAAAUGUUUAUGAAAAAUACACACAAAGAUUGGUUAUUAUGAAUGUGGCAAAAGCAGUUUUGAAAUACAGUUACCUUGUUGGUUCACGGUGAAUGAGAGGGAUAAAGUAUGUAAGUUGGUAACUUUUCAUUGGACUUAGUUUUGUGGCUGGAAUAAUGCGUAAGCUUUUUUAGCUUAACACAGCUCUAGAGAAUAAAGAACUAGGCUUGGUUUAUAUGUGCAACAAAUUGAGAGAGGGAGAGCUUGAGGUGAUAGAAUCUACUGUACUGUUUUAGGCUGCAGACUUCCUUAUCAUGCAACUCUGCCUUGCAAACAGCAUCUUGCCACAUCAGCAUCAGAGGUCUUCGCCUUAAUAGCUCCUUGCUGUGUUGGCUUUCUACAGGGAAACUUUUAUGCAAGGUAGCAUUUUUUAAAAAAUGCACUCCCUCACCUAGGGAUCGAAGUGGUACAGUCUAUUCUACCACCUAUAUACUCCUAUCACUUUGUUUCCUCUUUAUUUGGCUACAUGUAUUAGACCUUCUCCAAUACUGGGGAAAGCGUUAUGCUCGCCUUUACAGAAGCAAGGCCAAUAAAUACAUUUUUUUUUAUUUGCCUGUUUCUGUGUGCGUGUCUCUUUUGCCUAUUGUCUCCACUUUGUUUUUAAUGACUCUGGAGUUUUAAAUCUGGCACUCUGCAAUGAUUUUAUAGGCAUCUGUUUUCUCCAGAGGAAAAUUUGAACAAAUAGUUAAAUUCAAACUUUAAAUUGGCAAAAACCCCCACUAACUUUAAAUUUGCAGGACUGAAGACUAUAUGUGAAUGGUAAAUUUCUUAUGUAGAUGUAGGGAAACUAGACUGAAAAAAGCCCACUAGCUGUGAAAUCAGAACUGCUCUGAAAAUUAUGUCUACUUUCUGUGGGUUCAAAUAGACAUCCUCUUGUAAGAGGACGUUCCUGUGGAAUCUUAAGCUAAUGAAUGAAACUUUGUGCCUCAUCUAAUUUUCCUUAUCAUUGUUCAUUUAUUGCACUACCCUUUUUCAUCUAAAAUGUUUGUAUCCUCCUAGAAUGUUGGCAUUUGGUUACAAUCAAAUAAAUAUUUCCUUCAUUA